rnacentral:tmRNA from 1 species
GCCCUUGCAGCACCCCGCCCCCCGCCUUAUCUAUAGGAUGUCCUUCGGGACUAUGGACAUAAACGCGCUCGUAAUAAGCGGAUCGGACCCGGGGGCGGUACCCGGCGGCUCCACCAAAAUCCUUCAUUUGGGGAUCAUGGGGCCGAAACAGGAUCGACGAACGUCUAAAGGGGUUUGCUUUGUCUCGGUGAGAUACCACCGUUAUCGGUUCACAUAAGCUAGUUGCAAAUGACAACAAAGCACCGAUGGCACUCGCAGCCUAAGCUGCGCGUAAUAUCGAAAUCUAACUCCUGAGGUUUUGCGACCUCAGGCGGGGUUCGCAGGUACCUGGCAACAGAAACCUGCAUU